rnacentral:lncRNA from 1 species
CUAAAGAGGAUUGCUUUAAAAAAAAAAAAAAAAAAAAUAUAUAUAUAUAUAUAUAUAUAUAUAUAUAAAGCCUACAAUUUAAUACUCCCAUUAAAAGGGAUUAUUAGACAGUAUUAAAAAGUCAAGAUCCAGGCUGGAGGACUGGUUCAUUGGUAGAAUACUUGUCUACAACAUAUGACACCCUGGGUUCAAUCCCUAGUACCCCUCCCACACAUACAGAAAUCAAAACUCACUAUAUAUCUAAAAGAAACACUUUUAAUGUACACAGAAAGUAAAAUAAUGUAUCAUGCAAAUAGAAUAUAUAAGAAUUCUUGUUGGCUAUAUGAACAUCAGACCAAGUAAACUUUAAGAUAAAGAAAAUUAGCAGAGAUAAAGAGACAUUUAGAAAAGGGUCAAUUAAACAGAAAGAUACAAUCCUAAUAACAAAGCUACAAAAAAUGACAAACUAAAGGGAAAAACAGAUGCACAAUUGUAGCCAGAUAUUUCAAAACCUCUCUAAUCAGUAACUGAGACAACAAUUAGACCAAAAAGCAGUACAAUAUAGAAAAUCUGAACAGUAUUUUCAACUAUCGUGAUAUAAUUGACAGUAAACAUCUCCACCUAAUAACUGCAGGAUGAAUAUUUGUUUCAAGCACAGAUGGAACAUUAGCUUAAUGUUUUAGUUUGUUUUCUGUUGCUAUAAUAGAACACCUGAGGGCCAGGUGUGGUAGUGCACACCUGUAAUAACAGUGAUUUGGGAGUCUGAGUCAGGAAGAUCACAAGUUCAAG